GACGUAGGAUGCGAGCGUUGUCCGGAUUUAUUGGGCGUAAAGAGUUCGUAGGCGGUUUGUUAAGUCUGAUGUUAAAGACUGGGGCUCAACCUCGGGACUGCAUUGGAUACUGGCAGACUGGAGUAUGGUAGAGGCAAGUGGAAUUCCCAGUGUAGCGGUGAAAUGCGUAGAUAUUGGGAAGAACACCGGUGGCGCAAGCGACUUGCUGGGCCAUUACUGACGCUGAGGAACGAAAGCUAGGGGAGCGAAUGGG
rnacentral:rRNA from 1 species